rnacentral:rRNA from 1 species
CCUUGUACACACCGCCCGUCACACCAUGGGAGCGGGUUCUGCCAGAAGUAGUUAGCCUAACCGCAAGGGAGGGCGAUUACCACGGCAGGGUUCGUGACUGGGGUG